rnacentral:rRNA from 1 species
CGGCAGGCCUAACACAUGCAAGUCGAGCGGCAGCACGGGUACUUGUACCUGGUGGCGAGCGGCGGACGGGUGAGUAAUGCCUAGGAAUCUGCCUGGUAGUGGGGGAUAACGCUCGGAAACGGACGCUAAUACCGCAUACGUCCUACGGGAGAAAGCAGGGGACCUUCGGGCCUUGCGCUAUCAGAUGAGCCUAGGUCGGAUUAGCUAGUUGGUGAGGUAAUGGCUCACCAAGGCGACGAUCCGUAACUGGUCUGAGAGGAUGAUCAGUCACACUGGAACUGAGACACGGUCCAGACUCCUACGGGAGGCAGCAGUGGGGAAUAUUGGACAAUGGGCGAAAGCCUGAUCCAGCCAUGCCGCGUGUGUGAAGAAGGUCUUCGGAUUGUAAAGCACUUUAAG